AGCAGUGAAAGGAGGAGAGAAGGAGAGAAAAACAAAAGUGCCUUUUGAAGGAAGAAGCCACUCUGAGUCUGGAGUGAGGUGACUCAUGGAAAAGAUCUUUUCCCAGAGAGCCAGUAAAAGGCCACAGAUGCAGCUGAAGAGGCAGUGGUACCCACGUGGACAUAUUAUAGAUACCACCUAAAACCUACCUGACCACACGAACAGAAAAGAAAGCAUGUCCACUGGCCAAAGUGUUCAAGCCUGCG
rnacentral:lncRNA from 1 species